GGGUUGUGAGGUUAAGCGACUAAGCGUACACGGUGGAUGCCCUGGCAGUCAGAGGCGAUGAAGGACGUGCUAAUCUGCGAUAAGCGUCGGUAAGGUGAUAUGAACCGUUAUAACCGGCGAUUUCCGAAUGGGGAAACCCAGUGUGUUUCGACACACUAUCAUUAACUGAAUCCAUAGGUUAAUGAGGCGAACCGGGGGAACUGAAACAUCUAAGUACCCCGAGGAAAAGAAAUCAACCGAGAUUCCCCCAGUAGCGGCGAGCGAACGGGGAGCAGCCCAGAGCCUGAAUCAGUGUGUGUGUUAGUGGAAGCGUCUGGAAAGGCGCGCGAUACAGGGUGACAGCCCCGUACACAAAAAUGCACAUGCUGUGAGCUCGAUGAGUAGGGCGGGACACGUGGUAUCCUGUCUGAAUAUGGGGGGACCAUCCUCCAAGGCUAAAUACUCCUGACUGACCGAUAGUGAACCAGUACCGUGAGGGAAAGGCGAAAAGAACCCCGGCGAGGGGAGUGAAAAAGAACCUGAAACCGUGUACGUACAAGCAGUGGGAGCCUCUUUUAUGGGGUGACUGCGUACCUUUUGUAUAAUGGGUCAGCGACUUAUAUUCUGUAGCAAGGUUAACCGAAUAGGGGAGCCGAAGGGAAACCGAGUCUUAACUGGGCGUUAAGUUGCAGGGUAUAGACCCGAAACCCGGUGAUCUAGCCAUGGGCAGGUUGAAGGUUGGGUAACACUAACUGGAGGACCGAACCGACUAAUGUUGAAAAAUUAGCGGAUGACUUGUGGCUGGGGGUGAAAGGCCAAUCAAACCGGGAGAUAGCUGGUUCUCCCCGAAAGCUAUUUAGGUAGCGCCUCGUGAAUUCAUCUCCGGGGGUAGAGCACUGUUUCGGCAAGGGGGUCAUCCCGACUUACCAACCCGAUGCAAACUGCGAAUACCGGAGAAUGUUAUCACGGGAGACACACGGCGGGUGCUAACGUCCGUCGUGAAGAGGGAAACAACCCAGACCGCCAGCUAAGGUCCCAAAGUCAUGGUUAAGUGGGAAACGAUGUGGGAAGGCCCAGACAGCCAGGAUGUUGGCUUAGAAGCAGCCAUCAUUUAAAGAAAGCGUAAUAGCUCACUGGUCGAGUCGGCCUGCGCGGAAGAUGUAACGGGGCUAAACCAUGCACCGAAGCUGCGGCAGCGACACUAUGUGUUGUUGGGUAGGGGAGCGUUCUGUAAGCCUGUGAAGGUGUACUGUGAGGUAUGCUGGAGGUAUCAGAAGUGCGAAUGCUGACAUAAGUAACGAUAAAGCGGGUGAAAAGCCCGCUCGCCGGAAGACCAAGGGUUCCUGUCCAACGUUAAUCGGGGCAGGGUGAGUCGACCCCUAAGGCGAGGCCGAAAGGCGUAGUCGAUGGGAAACAGGUUAAUAUUCCUGUACUUGGUGUUACUGCGAAGGGGGGACGGAGAAGGCUAUGUUGGCCGGGCGACGGUUGUCCCGGUUUAAGCGUGUAGGCUGGUUUUCCAGGCAAAUCCGGAAAAUCAAGGCUGAGGCGUGAUGACGAGGCACUACGGUGCUGAAGCAACAAAUGCCCUGCUUCCAGGAAAAGCCUCUAAGCAUCAGGUAACAUCAAAUCGUACCCCAAACCGACACAGGUGGUCAGGUAGAGAAUACCAAGGCGCUUGAGAGAACUCGGGUGAAGGAACUAGGCAAAAUGGUGCCGUAACUUCGGGAGAAGGCACGCUGAUAUGUAGGUGAAGUCCCUCGCGGAUGGAGCUGAAAUCAGUCGAAGAUACCAGCUGGCUGCAACUGUUUAUUAAAAACACAGCACUGUGCAAACACGAAAGUGGACGUAUACGGUGUGACGCCUGCCCGGUGCCGGAAGGUUAAUUGAUGGGGUCAGCGCAAGCGAAGCUCUUGAUCGAAGCCCCGGUAAACGGCGGCCGUAACUAUAACGGUCCUAAGGUAGCGAAAUUCCUUGUCGGGUAAGUUCCGACCUGCACGAAUGGCGUAAUGAUGGCCAGGCUGUCUCCACCCGAGACUCAGUGAAAUUGAACUCGCUGUGAAGAUGCAGUGUACCCGCGGCAAGACGGAAAGACCCCGUGAACCUUUACUAUAGCUUGACACUGAACAUUGAGCCUUGAUGUGUAGGAUAGGUGGGAGGCUUAGAAGUGUGGACGCCAGUCUGCAUGGAGCCGACCUUGAAAUACCACCCUUUAAUGUUUGAUGUUCUAACGUUGACCCGUGAUCCGGGUUGCGGACAGUGUCUGGUGGGUAGUUUGACUGGGGCGGUCUCCUCCUAAAGAGUAACGGAGGAGCACGAAGGUUGGCUAAUCCUGGUCGGACAUCAGGAGGUUAGUGCAAUGGCAUAAGCCAGCUUGACUGCGAGCGUGACGGCGCGAGCAGGUGCGAAAGCAGGUCAUAGUGAUCCGGUGGUUCUGAAUGGAAGGGCCAUCGCUCAACGGAUAAAAGGUACUCCGGGGAUAACAGGCUGAUACCGCCCAAGAGUUCAUAUCGACGGCGGUGUUUGGCACCUCGAUGUCGGCUCAUCACAUCCUGGGGCUGAAGUAGGUCCCAAGGGUAUGGCUGUUCGCCAUUUAAAGUGGUACGCGAGCUGGGUUUAGAACGUCGUGAGACAGUUCGGUCCCUAUCUGCCGUGGGCGCUGGAGAACUGAGGGGGGCUGCUCCUAGUACGAGAGGACCGGAGUGGACGCAUCACUGGUGUUCGGGUUGUCAUGCCAAUGGCACUGCCCGGUAGCUAAAUGCGGAAGAGAUAAGUGCUGAAAGCAUCUAAGCACGAAACUUGCCCCGAGAUGAGUUCUCCCUGAGACUAUAAGUCUCCUGAAGGAACGUUGAAGACGACGACGUUGAUAGGCCGGGUGUGUAAGCGCAGCGAUGCGUUGAGCUAACCGGUACUAAUGAACCGUGAGGCUUAACCUUACAACGCCGAAGGUGUUU
rnacentral:rRNA from 1 species